CCCUGGCAGCUGCUGCUGCUUACGAGUCUAUGUUUGCAGCAGCAGAUGGCACCAUCCCAGCAAAUUCUGGUCUCACAACAGUCUAUCACACUAAAAGUUUCCUUUGGUUGACAGAGAAGUUAUGGAAAAAACUUUAUUGCAUAGCAUCACCAACUUGUUGCUACAAACGUCCAAAUUGCUGCAUUUGAUGUCAACUUUAAUUUUCUUUUCUAUCGCGUAAUGUUUUCGUCUUGUGCAUGUUUUAAGGUGAUAUACAUGACUGGAUGGAGGGAAUACCCUUCUCAACAGAAAGCUAAAACGAGAGAAUCUGCAACAAUAUUGUUCAAGGAUAUCAAAAAGCAAUUUGGUGGAGGAAGUUAACACCAGCCAGCUUUUGUAGUCUUCUCAAAUAAGUGUUUCGCAUUCAUUAUGGUGGCACGAAAAGUCUCGAUGGGUCACGUAGGGAGGAGUUCCCUCACUCUGAUCGAUCCACGGAAGCUGCGAGUCGAGGUUUGAAUUUAUGCAGUGUUCUCAAUUUGAUCACCCAUCUUCAGAAAUUUCAAUUUAGUUACCCAUUCUUGUUCUAUGUUACCAGUUAAUCACUGUGUCCAUUGCUUGUCAGGUCUAGUUACAGAUAUGCUGAUGUUUGCACAUGACUGAUUUCUAGCUAGUAGAUCCUUUCUUGUUCUAAAACAUUAUUUUUGGACGUUUAAUGCUGGCUGUACAAGCCAGACACAUUCGAGGUGGGUGGGGGUGGGUGAUUACUUAAAAAAA